AUUGAACGCUGGCGGCAUGCCUUACACAUGCAAGUCGAACGGCAGCACGGGGCAACCUGGUGGCGAGUGGCGAACGGGUGAGUAAUGCAUCGGAACGUACCUUUCAGUGGGGGAUAACGUAGCGAAAGUUACGCUAAUACCGCAUAUUCUGUGAGCAGGAAAGCAGGGGAUCGCAAGACCUUGCGCUGAUUGAGCGGCCGAUGUCAGAUUAGCUAGUUGGUGAGGUAAAGGCUCACCAAGGCAACGAUCUGUAGCGGGUCUGAGAGGAUGAUCCGCCACAAUGGAACUGAGACACGGUCCGGACUCCUACGGGAGGCAGCAGUGGGGAAUUUUGGACAAUGGGGGCAACCCUGAUCCAGCCAUGCCGCGUGAGUGAAGAAGGCCUUCGGGUUGUAAAGCUCUUUCGGCCGGGAAGAAAUCGCACGGGCUAAUACCCUGUGUGGAUGACGGUACCGGAAUAAGAAGCACCGGCUAACUACGUGCCAGCCGCCGCCGUAACAC
rnacentral:rRNA from 1 species